rnacentral:rRNA from 1 species
UCCGUAGGGUGCAAGCGUUGUCCGGAAUUACUGGGCGUAAAGAGCUCGUAGGUGGUUUGUCGCGUUGUUCGUGAAAACUCACAGCUCAACUGUGGGCGUGCGGUCGAUACGGGCAUCACUGGAGUUCGGCAGGGGAGACUGGAAUUCCUGGUGUAGCGGUGAAAUGCGCAGAUAUCAGGAGGAACACCGGUGGCGAAGGCGGGUCUCUGGGCCGAUACUGACGCUGAGGAGCGAAAGCGUGGGGAGCGAACAGG